rnacentral:rRNA from 1 species
AGUGAACGCUGGCGGCGUGCCUAAUACAUGCAAGUCGAACGAAGUGGCGCACGGGUGGGUAAUAUAUAGUUAAUCUGCCCUACACAGAGGACCAACAGUUGGGAACGGCUGCUAAUACCUCAUAGUGUAGGAUGAGACUAUAUCGUAUCAGCUAGUUGGUAAGGUAAUGGCUUACCAAGGCUAUGAAGCGUAACUGGUCUGCGAGGAUGAUCAGUAACAUUGGACCUGAGACACGGGCCAAACUCCUACGGGAAGCAGCGGUAAGGAAAAUGGCGCAAUGGGCGAAAGCCUGAAGCAGCAACGCCGCGUGGAGGAUGACACUUUGCGGAGAGUAAACUCCUUUUAUCAGGAAAGCGGUACCUGAUGAAUAAGCACCGGCUAACUCCGUGCCAGCAGCCGCGGUAAUAC